CGGCUCCGUAGUGGCGUCUCCUCCCAGCACUGCAGUAACGUUUGUGUGUAUUUCAUGCAAACGGAGCCCAUGUGUUCACCUGGGGCGGUGAACACGGUUUGGGUGUUGAAUUUUCAUGCUCUUGGGAAGAGACGGCUCCUCCCGUGCAGAAACCAUCAAGGGUCAUCCAAGAUCACCCUGGUCAACGGAGAAAUAGCUCAGAUCGAAUCUGCUGGGAGAACAGCUGUUCGACUCAUAUGUACAUAUUCUUUUCCUUUUUUCA